CUUUUUCCUCUUCACGCAGGUCUCCCACCCAUGUCCAAACUGAUGCCUUCCUGUUCUUCCCUUUCUUCUUCUCCUUCUAUUUGUUCCUUUUCUCUCAUUUUCCACACAUACUGAGAUUUUUAUCCAAUUUUUUUUUUCAUACUUUUCUUUAUUUUCAUUUUCACCUCCUCCUUUCUUUUCUCCAGUCACAUAUGCCCCAAAUCCGAUUAGAUCCGUUCACCCACAACCGUUUCCGGUAAGGUCCAGUCACCCACGACCAUCAUCAGCGCAGAUCCGGCCAUGAAAUUUAUCAUCAACGCAGAUCCGGCCAUGAAAUUUUUUUAUAGCUAAAACCCGGUUCUUGGACCGGUUUCCGGGUUUUCCGGUUCAUACCGGUACCCGAAUUUCGGUAAUUGACCCGGUUUUUUGGCGAUUUUGGAGUUUCACCGCUAACCGGACCGGACAUGGCGACGGUUCGCGGUUAAACCGGUCGGACCGGCCGGUCCGGUCGGUUUUCAAAACAUUGAUUUUUAUUGUGGUUUCUUCAUAUACUUUACUUUUAAGAAAGAAAAAUAUUUUUUUUUGGAUUUUUGUGCAUAAGUCCCCAACCAAGCAUCUUUAUUAUUCUAGGUUUAUGUACUAUAUCGAUUUCACCAGUAAGUUCAUCCCUUCAAUAUUUAUUAUAAAUAAAUGAAACAUUAUGUAUAUGACAAUACUACCCCCAACCCUUUAUAUCCAAUUCUUAAUUGUAACCCCCAAGUGAAUCAAUUUUGUCCACAAAAUUUUAAUUUUGAUCACAAAAAUCCAAUUUUGA
rnacentral:lncRNA from 1 species